CCCUUAGAUGGUCUGGGCCGCACGCGUGCUACACUGAGUGGAUCAGCGGGUCAGGUUGCGCGAAAGCGUUUCCUAAUCUUUAAAUCCGCUCGUGAUGGGGAUUGACGGUUGCAAUUUUCUGUCAUGAACGAGGAAUACCUUGUAAGCGCGGGUCAUCAUCCCGCGCUGAAUACGUCCCUGCCCUUUGUACACACCGCCCGUCGCUCCUACCGAUUGAGUGGUCCGGUGAGGCUUUGGGAUCUGAGCGGAAAGAGCGUUUCGCUGUUUCUGCUCGGAAAACUCAGUCGAACCUUAUCAUUUAGAGGAAGGAGAAGUCGUAACA
rnacentral:rRNA from 1 species